UACAGCCCACUGCCAUCUAGU
rnacentral:piRNA from 1 species